rnacentral:lncRNA from 1 species
CCAGAAUAUCAUGUCGUGUCCGUGACCUGCGCUGCAUGACCCUUGGGUCUGGCUCUGCCCCUGGCGUCUCACGAUUCGUGUUGGUGUGGGUCCGUCAGUAGUUGGGUCCUCACGUUGCCGAGGCGUGCUCCGUGUGAGGCUGCUCCAGUGUUGUGUCCCUUCUCCAGGCGAAGGAGAACAUUAAGUUG